UACUUGGUUGAUCCUGCCAAGGAAGCACACUUAGGUCAUAGAUUAAGCCAUGCAAGUGUUAGUUCAGGUAACGAAACUGCGAAUAGCUCAUUAAUACGCUCAGAAUCUAUUUGGCGGCGACCAACAGGUCUUAAAUGGAUAGCAGCAGCAACUCUGGUGCUAAUACAUGCGAUUGUUUCUCCAGAUGUGAAUUAUGGAGGAAAAGUUGACCUCAUCAGAGGCACGCCAUUCGACUGAGUGACCUAUCAGCUUGUACUUAGGGUCUUUACCUAGGUAGGCUAUCACGGGUAACGGGCGGUUACCGUCGGACUGCCGGAGAAGGCGCCUGAGAGAUAGCGACUAUAUCCACGGGUAGCAGCAGGCGCGAAACUUUCCCACUCGAGACUUUCGGAGGAGGUAAUGACCAGUUCCAUUGGUGCCUUU
rnacentral:ncRNA from 1 species